rnacentral:lncRNA from 10 species
AUGGCUUUUUGGCUACAAACCUGUACAACAUGUUACUGUACUGGAUAAUGUAAGCAACUGUAACACAAUGGAUAGGCAAUUCUAGAUCUACAAAAGAAAAAAUGGACAAGGCAAAUCAGAAAGCAAGCAUUAUUCACGAAAGCCAAGAUAUGGAAAUAACCUAAGUGUCCAUCAACGGAUAAAUAAAGAAAAUGUGCCACACGUAUAUGAGUAUAAUUUGGCCUUUAAAAAGAAGGAAAUCCUGCUAUUUGCAACAACUUGGAUGAAUCUGGAGGACAUUAUGCUAAGUGAAACAAGCCAGACACUGAAAGACAAAUACCGCAUGAUCUCACUUACAAAAGAAAUCUAAAAAGAUUGAACUCAUAGAAAUAGAAUAGAAUGGUGGUUACCAGGGCCUGGGAGGUGGAGGAAAUGGAGAUGUUGGCCAAAGCGUACAAAAGGUUAGUUACAUGAAUGAGUUUGGGAGAUCUAUUGUUCAGUAUGGUGACUAUAGUUAAUAAUAAUGUAUUGUAGACUUGAUAUUUGCUAAGUGAGUAGAUCUUAAGUGUUCUUAACACACACACACACAAACACAAAUGAUAACUAUGUUAGGUGAUAGAUAUGUUAAUUAGCUUGACUUUGUUAAUCCUCAUCCAAUGUAUAAGUAUAUCAAAACUUUACAUUGUACAUCUUAAAUAUUUAUCUAUAUUCCUCACUCGUAUCCCUCAAUAAAGCUGGAAAAAAAUUAAUUGUGUCUUACCUGUCAGUAAUCAGUUAUUUUGCUAUUAACCAACAUAGCAGAUACCACCAGCAGCUGUAGCUUUUUUU